rnacentral:tRNA from 1 species
GGCCGACUAGCUCGGUUGGUUAGAGCGUCGUGCUAAUAACGCGAAGGUCUUGGGUUCGAUCCCCACGUUGGCCA